rnacentral:rRNA from 1 species
AGCGAACGCUGGCGGCAGGCCUAACACAUGCAAGUCGAACGAACUCUUCGGAGUUAGUGGCGGACGGGUGAGUAACACGUGGGAACGUGCCUUUUGGUUCGGAAUAACUCAGGGAAACUUGUGCUAAUACCGAAUGUGCCCUUCGGGGGAAAGAUUUAUCGCCAUUAGAGCGGCCCGCGUCUGAUUAGCUAGUUGGUGAGGUAACGGCUCACCAAGGCGACGAUCAGUAGCUGGUCUGAGAGGAUGACCAGCCACACUGGGACUGAGACACGGCCCAGACUCCUACGGGAGGCAGCAGUGGGGAAUCUUGCGCAAUGGGCGAAAGCCUGACGCAGCCAUGCCGCGUGAAUGAUGAAGGUCUUAGGAUUGUAAAAUUCUUUCACCGGGGACGAUAAUGACGGUACCCGGAGAAAAAGCCCCGGCUAACUUCGUG